GUCCUGGCAUUUGUCAAACAUGUAAAAGUGUUUUUUUUAAAUAUAAUUAUUGACGGUUAUACUUUUUGUUCCCACCGAACAAAUUAAAGAUAAGGUUAGUUAUAAGAGUAACAUGCAUUUUAUCCUUGACUUGAUAAAAUACACGUUAACAGGGCGCUCAUCGUAACCGAGUGCGCGCCGUGCGGGGGUGCAAAUAGGGUCAGCGCCGGACGACCUUGACCGAAGCUGACGGAUCGGAGCCGAGCACGUGCAAGGCCUUGUUGGGGCUCGUGUGGCUGGCUGGCUGGCUGGCAGUACGAGGAUUCGUCGUCCCGUCCCGCCCGAAAACUGAAAAGUUUUUUUUUUUUGAAUUGUAACACUUUCGUUUAUUUUUGGUAAAUAUUGUUCAAUCAUAGACUAACUAAGGUUAAAAGAUUCAUCUCGUGAUUUACAGUCAAACUGUGUGAUUAGUUUUUAUUUUCGUCUAUACUUAAUGCUUCAUGUAUGUGCCGCAAGAUUUGAUGUGACAAAAAAUCUUAAAAACUUUUUAAAUUUCGGGAUGAACUAGCCAAUAGCCUGUGCGGACGAUCCGGGCCGUCCGAGUCGUGACUCGUGACACGGACGGGCGACGACCGCGGGGAUCGGGGGCCGCCUUGUCACGUUGGAUGGCCGGCCUAGGGGGAGGGGCGGCCCUACGGUGCAGUGCACCAGGCAUGCUCCACGGACCACGGCCACCCAGCCGUGUCAGUUUUUUUUUUUAUUUCCACAAGGGUUUAGAACUUAGGCCUCGUUUAGUUCCCAAAAUUUUUCAAGAUUCCCCAUCACAUCGAAUCUUGCGGCACAUACAUAAAACAUUAAAUAUAGACGAAAACAAAAACUAAUUACACAGUUCACCUGUAAAUCACGAGACGAAUCUUUUGAUCCUAGUUAGUCUAUGAUUGGAUAAUAUUUGCCAUAAACAAACGAAAGUGCUACAGUGGCGAAAUCCAAAAUUUUUCCCAAACUAAACAAGGCCUUAGGCAAAAAUUUUUUAUCCCCAAUCUAAACAGGGCCAAAAUAUGAUAGUAGCAUUUUCGUUUGUAUUUGAUAAAUAUUGUCUAAUUAUAGACUAACUAGGCUUAAAAGAUUUGUCUAGCCAAUUCCGACCAAAUUGUGCAAUUAGUUUUUUAUUUCGUCUAUAUUUAAUACUCCAUGCAUACGUUUAAAAAUUCGAUGUGACGGGGAAUCUGAAAAAUUUUGCAAAAUUUUUGGGUAACUAAGACUAUCUCCAACAAUC
rnacentral:lncRNA from 1 species